UGGCCUAGAAUUCAUACUCUUGUCUUGGG
rnacentral:piRNA from 1 species